UUGCCAGCCGCCGCGGUAAUACGGAGGGUGCAAGCGUUAUCCGGAUUCAUUGGGUUUAAAGGGUGCGCAGGCGGAUUAUUAAGUUAGUGGUGAAAUCCCGGGGCUCAACCUCGGAACUGCCAUUAAUACUGGUAAUCUGGAAUACGGUUGAAGUGGGCGGAAUGUAGCAUGUAGCGGUGAAAUGCAUAGAGAUGCUACAGAACACCGAUCGCGAAGGCAGCUCACUAAGCCGAUAUUGACGCUCAGGCACGAAAGCGUGGGGAGCGAACAGGAUUAGAUACCCUGGUAGUCCACGCCGUAAACGAUGAUAACUCGUUGUUGGCGACACACAGUCAGCGACUAAGCGAAAGCGAUAAGUUAUCCACCUGGGGAGUACGAUCGCAAGGUUGAAACUCAAAUGAAUUGACGG
rnacentral:rRNA from 1 species